AUGCAAGUCGAGCGGUAACAGAGAGUAGCUUGCUACUCUGCUGACGAGCGGCGGACGGGUGAGUAAUGCUUGGGAAUAUGCCUUAUGGUGGGGGACAACAGUUGGAAACGACUGCUAAUACCGCAUGAUGUCUACGGACCAAAGUGGGGGACCUCCGGGCCUCACGCCAUAAGAUUAGCCCAAGUGGGAUUAGCUAGUUGGUGAGGUAAUGGCUCACCAAGGCGACGAUCCCUAGCUGGUUUGAGAGGAUGAUCAGCCACACUGGGACUGAGACACGGCCCAGACUCCUACGGGAGGCAGCAGUGGGGAAUAUUGCACAAUGGGCGCAAGCCUGAUGCAGCCAUGCCGCGUGUGUGAAGAAGGCCUUCGGGUUGUAAAGCACUUUCAGUAAGGAGGAAAGGUUAAGUGUUAAUAGCACUUAGCUGUGACGUUACUUACAGAAGAAGCACCGGCUAACUCCGUGCCAGCAGCCGCGGUAAUACGGAGGGUGCGAGCGUNAAUCGGAAUUACUGGGCGUAAAGCGUACGCAGGCGGUUUGUUAAGCGAGAUGUGAAAGCCCCGGGCUC
rnacentral:rRNA from 1 species